UGAAAUUUUGACGCCGACGUUGCACAUGCACAACUGUUCGAUGCAACAACUGUAGCAAAAAUGCGUCGUACAUGGCGAUUGCUCACGGACAGUCCACAGUGAAUGCAGAAGCAUGUUGCGCAGUGAUGCACUACACUGGAAUGAUUCAAGUCUCUUCCGGCGAGAAGAUAUUUUGGUCUUGCGAGAUCUCCUGCUGUCUUGAGUUCUGGUGCGCCGGCCGGCGCAUUUUACUACACGCGUAAACACGAAACGCACGCCGCACGCGAUUCGAGAUCAUUGCCACUUCGCGGUUGGCGCAACCUUGACGUAAGUCAUCCGGUUUGCAGGUGAGACUGCGCUUCUUAUACUUUGCUCAAGGCCGUCAAUAGUCAUCAAAAUAAAAAGCGACAUUCAAGCGUCAUCUAGUAUGAUAUCAGCAAUAUUUGGGAAGUGAAAUAUUUUGAAAUUAAAUUACAAGAGUAAACAAAUACAGAAAUAUGAGGA